rnacentral:rRNA from 1 species
GACGAACGCUGGCGGCGUGCUUAACACAUGCAAGUCGAACGAAGUGGCGAACGGGUGAGUAAUACGUGGGUACCCUGCCCUUCAGAGGGGGACAACAGUUGGAAACGACUGCUAAUACCGCAUACUGAAGGAGGGGAUUGCUGCUGAUUAGCUAGUUGGAGGGGUAACUGCCCACCAAGGCGAUGAUCAGUAGCCGGUCUGAGAGGAUGAACGGCCCCAUUGGGACUGAGACACGGCCCAGACGCCUACGGGAGGCAGCAGAGGGGAAUCGUCCGCAAUGGACGAAAGUCUGACGGAGCAACGCCGCGUGAGUGAUGACGGCCUUCGGGUGGUAAAGCUCUGUUAAUCGGGACGCGUUACCGGAAUAGAAAGCCACGGCUAACUACGUGCCAGCAGCCGCGGUAAUAC